UACGUAGGCAGCGAGCGUUGUUCGGAAUUACUGGGCGUAAAGAGUGUGUAGGCGGUGCUCUAAGUUCGGUGUGAAAUCUCCUGGCUCAACUGGGGAGGGUGCGCCGGAAACUGGAGUGCUUGAGCGUGGGAGAGGAAAGCGGAAUUCCUGGUGUAGCGGUGAAAUGCGUAGAUAUCGUUUGGAACGCCAAUGGUGAAAACAGACAGCUGGGAGUGUGCUGACGCUGAGACACGAAAGCCAGGGGAGCAAACAGG
rnacentral:rRNA from 1 species